CUGGAAUCGCUAGUAAUCGCGGAUCAGAAUGCCGCGGUGAAUACGUUCCCGGGUCUUGUACACACCGCCCGUCACACCAUGGGAGUCGGAAAUGCCCGAAGUCUGUGACCCAACCUCAGGGAGGGAGCAGCCGAAGGCAGGUCGGAUGACUGGGGUGAAGUCGUAACAAGGUAAC
rnacentral:rRNA from 1 species